rnacentral:rRNA from 1 species
AGAGUUUGAUCAUGGCUCAGAUUGAACGCUGGCGGCAUGCUUUACACAUGCAAGUCGAACGGCAGCGCGGGGGCAACCCUGGCGGCGAGUGGCGAACGGGUGAGUAAUGCAUCGGAACGUAUCCUGUAAUGGGGGAUAACGUAGCGAAAGUUACGCUAAUACCGCAUACGCUCGAGAGAGGAAAGUGGGGGAUCGCAAGACCUCACGUUAUAGGAGCGGCCGAUGUCCGAUUAGCUAGUUGGUGGGGUAAAGGCCUACCAAGGCGACGAUCGGUAGCUGGUCUGAGAGGAUGAUCAGCCACACUGGGACUGAGACACGGCCCAGACUCCUACGGGAGGCAGCAGUGGGGAAUUUUGGACAAUGGGCGAAAGCCUGAUCCAGCCAUGCCGCGUGCGGGAAGAAGGCCUUCAGGUUGUAAACCGCUUUAGUCCGGGAAAAGGGGUGCGAGGAUAAUACCCUCGUGCUUUGAUGGUACUGGAAGAAUAAGCACCGGCUAACUACGUG